GCUUUCAUAGAUGAAUUACAUCAGUGGUUUUUCAUAUCAUCAGUCUUGGUUAAAGUCCAUGUGGAAGUG
rnacentral:tRNA from 1 species